GACUCUCGGCAACGGAUAUCUCGGCUCACGCAUCGAUGAAGAACGUAGCAAAAUGCGAUACUUGGUGUGAAUUGCAGAAUCCCGUGAACCAUCGAGUUUUUGAACGCAAGUUGCGCCCAAAGCCAUCCGGCCGAGGGCACGUCUGCCUGGGCGUCACGC
rnacentral:rRNA from 1 species